rnacentral:rRNA from 1 species
AUUGAACGCUGGCGGCAGGCCUAACACAUGCAAGUCGAGCGAGCGGCGGACGGGUGAGUAACGUCUGGGAAACUGCCUGAUGGAGGGGGAUAACUACUGGAAACGGUAGCUAAUACCGCAUACCAUCAGAUGUGCCCAGAUGGGAUUAGCUAGUAGGUGGGGUAACGGCUCACAUAGGCGACGAUCCCUAGGUGGUCUUAGAGGAUGACCAGCCACACUGGAACUGAGACACGGUCCAGACGCCUACGGGAGGAAGCAGUGGGGAAUAUUGAGCAAUGAGCGCAAGCCUGAUGCAGCCAUGCCGCGUGUGUGAAGAAGGCCUUCGGGUUGUAAAGCACUUUCAGCGGGGAGGCGUUACCCGCAGAAGAAGCACCGGCUAACUCCGUGCCAGCAGCCGCGGUAAUAC